rnacentral:sRNA from 1 species
UAUCUCUCCGUACGGGGAAGGAUGAGAAGCUUCGACCAAGGUUCGAUUCGAGCGAAAGCGAGAAAGCGUUGCCGCAGGCAACGACCCGAAGCGCGUAGCGCUGAGUCAUCCUUCCCCCACCACCA